rnacentral:rRNA from 1 species
GGAAAGAUUUAUCGGUUUUGGAUGGACUCGCGGCCUUUUCAGCUUGUUGGUGAGGUAAUGGCUCACCAAAGGCGACGACGGGUAGCCGGCCUGAGAGGGUGACCGGCCACACUGGGACUGAGACACGGCCCCAGACUCCUACGGGAGGCAGCAGUGGGGAAUAUUGCACAAUGGGCGCAAGCCUGAUGCAGCGACGCCGCGUGAGGGAUGACGGCCUUCGGGGUUGUAAACCUCUUUUCAGUAGGGAAGAAGCGAAAGUGACGGUACCUGCAGAAGAAGCACCGGCUAACUACGUGCCAGCAGCCGCGGUAAUACGUAGGGUGCGAGCGUUAUCCGGAAUUAUUGGGCGUAAAGAGCUCGUAGGCGGUUUGUCGCGUCUGUCGUGAAAGUCCGGGGCUUAACCCCGGAUCUGCGGUGGGUACGGGCAGACUAGAGUGCAGUAGGGGAGACUGGAAUUCCUGGUGUAGCGGUGGAAUGCGCAGAUAUCAGGAGGAACACCGAUGGCGAAGGCAGGUCUCUGGGCUGUAACUGACGCUGAGGAGCGAAAGCAUGGGGAGCGAACAGGAUUAGAUACCCUGGUAGUCCAUGCCGUAAACGUUGGGCACUAGGUGUGGGGACCAUUCCACGGUUUCCGCGCCGCAGCUAACGCAUUAAGUGCCCCGCCUGGGGAGUACGGCCGCAAGGCUAAAACUCAAAGGAAUUGACGGGGGCCCGCACAAGCGGCGGAGCAUGCGGAUUAAUUCGAUGCAACGCGAAGAACCUUACCAAGGCUUGACAUGUUCUCGAUCGCCGUAGAGAUACGGUUUCCCCUUUGGGGCGGGUUCACAGGUGGUGCAUGGUUGUCGUCAGCUCGUGUCGUGAGAUGUUGGGUUAAGUCCCGCAACGAGCGCAACCCUCGUUCCAUGUUGCCAGCACGUCGUGGUGGGGACUCAUGGGAGACUGCCGGGGUCAACUCGGAGGAAGGUGAGGACGACGUCAAAUCAUCAUGCCCCUUAUGUCUUGGGCUUCACGCAUGCUACAAUGGCCGGUACAAUGGGUUGCGAUACUGUGAGGUGGAGCUAAUCCCAAAAAGCCGGUCUCAGUUCGGAUUGGGGUCUGCAACUCGACCCCAUGAAGUCGGAGUCGCUAGUAAUCGCAGAUCAGCA